AGAGAAGUUUAAUUCACACGCCCAAUCCCGACUCGAGGUCGUUGAGAGUGAGGAGUGUGAUAGAAGAAGCUGAAGAGGUCAUCUCGACAGAAAGGAAACAUCUAGAAGGCGACAGAGAAAGAAGCCACCAACAGGAGGACGGUGUAGGAUGACGCCAAACUCCAGGGCAGCUACAAAUACAGUGAUGGUGAUUGAGAAGCGAGCAUGUCUUUGUGAGCUCCAUCAUGACCGGACAAUAAGGGAGGUGGCACGGAAAGAAAGUGCGGAUGAGUAACAGCUUCCUCGGAUCGUCAUCGUAUAAUGUGACAUGGAGAAAACGUGUUCGUUCACAGUUUAUAGAAUUCAGACGCAAGACAACAGCAGUGGGAGACGCCUGGACCGUUCCAGUUCCACAGGCUUCUGAUUUACAGUGAAAGUGGCAUUUGUCUGAAUACGAAGAUAAAACAAACAAACAAACAAAAAUAAAA